GUAUCUUCAGAAGCCAAGGUUCUCCACCCUUCACAGAUUGAAGACCAGGCAUCUAAGGACACCCCCCCCACACACACACACACACUGCUACUUCUCAUGUCAGUCUACAAGACCAAGAGGACGUGAGUUUGGUCUCCAACUCCCACAUGGUGGCUUACAACUAUCCAUAACUCCAGAUCCUGAGUACCAGAGGAUCUGGCAUCUUCUUCUGACUUCCUCAGGCAACCUGAAGACAUUUCUAUCAAACGCUGCAGUACAUUCAUCAUGGAAUAACAAAGGAUAAAUCACUGUACACUCAGUUUUAAGUGUUUUCUUCAGAGCCACUUUGUUUUGAGGACAAGUCAAACCUUUUCAGGGCUCAACCUCACCUCAAAGUUACUAUCAACACUUUCACAUAAUUCUUGAUCCCAAAGAUAUGAAAAACUCCCCUUCCUAAUAUUCUGCCCCCUAAAUUAUGCCAGUCUUCUGUUUCAUUGUGGAAGACUACCAGUUUGUUUCCCCAGCUCUGCCAACUCCUCCUUUCUUGGUCAGUCAUCCUACAGAAUCUCAUUCUCCAUGUGAGUUCUUCCCUCCUGUCCCUAGUGCUGUAUCUUUAAUAUACACUGCUCAUUGUAUUUCCCUUUAAAGAACGUAUUACUUACUUUAAAUAUAAUUGCUAUGUCUGCACAUAUUUGAAAGUCAGAGGACAACUUGAGUGAGUCAACUCUCUCCUUUCACCAUACCAAUCCCAGAUAUUGAACUCAAGUCAUCAGGCUUGGUGGCAAGCACCUUUGCCUGCCAAGUCAUCCCACGAGCCCAUCACUCACUUUUUCAUUUAGUAUUUCCUUUACCAAGUUUUCAAUGGCAAGGAUGUUGUUUAGUGAUGAGUAUGUUCCAAGUCUCACAACAUCCGCAUCUAGUAGGUGCUCUGGCUCAGCUGAGCAGAUGAAAGGAGCAAGUCUUAUCUGUCCCGACAUUGCCAAAAAACUACACCCUUCUUGUGAAGCGUGCCUGCUAAAAUACUUCAGUCUACGUGGAGUGACUGUGGAGGGAAAGCAGUGACUAUUAGUGUUCAGGCAUCUGUACUGGCUUGUCCUUGGGGUUCUGACAGGAUACGCCCUCAGCUGCAGACACUAAAAGCACCACCUAUGCAUAUUCACUAAGCUCCCAUCCUUCUCUCUCUCCAUCUGUCUUCCUUUCUCCCCCCUUUCCUCUCUCCCUUUCUUUCCU